CCCUUAGACGUUCUGGGCCGCACGCGCGCUACACUGACGAAGGCAACGAGCUUUCCUUUACCGAAAGGUACGGGUAAUCUUUUGAAACUUCGUCGUGCUGGGGAUAGAUCCUUGCAAUUUUUGAUCUUAAACGAGGAAUGCCUAGUAAGCGCAAGUCAUCAACUUGCGUUGAUUACGUCCCUGCCCUUUGUACACACCGCCCGUCGCUACUACCGAUUGAACGGUUUAGUGAGGCCUUCGGAUCCGCGACUCGUUUGUGGAGAAGUUGGACAAACUCAGUCAUUUAGAGGAAGUAAAAGUCGUAACA
rnacentral:rRNA from 1 species